ACGAACGCUGGCGGCGUGCCUAAUACAUGCAAGUAGAACGCUGAAGAGAGGAGCUUGCUCUUCUUGGAUGAGUUGCGAACGGGUGAGUAACGCGUAGGUAACCUGCCUUGUAGCGGGGGAUAACUAUUGGAAACGAUAGCUAAUACCGCAUAACAAUGGAUGACACAUGUCAUUUAUUUGAAAGGGGCAAUUGCUCCACUACAAGAUGGACCUGCGUUGUAUUAGCUAGUAGGUGAGGUAAUGGCUCACCUAGGCGACGAUACAUAGCCGACCUGAGAGGGUGAUCGGCCACACUGGGACUGAGACACGGCCCAGACUCCUACGGGAGGCAGCAGUAGGGAAUCUUCGGCAAUGGGGGCAACCCUGACCGAGCAACGCCGCGUGAGUGAAGAAGGUUUUCGGAUCGUAAAGCUCUGUUGUAAGUCAAGAACGGGUGUGAGAGUGGAAAGUUCGCACUGUGACGGUAGCUUACCAGAAAGGGACGGCUAACUACGUG
rnacentral:rRNA from 1 species